UACGGGGGGAGCAAGCGUUGUUCGGAUUUACUGGGCGUAAAGGGCGCGUAGGCGGCCACCGCAAGUCGACUGUGAAAUCUCCGGGCUUAACCCGGAAAGGUCAGCCGAUACUGCGGGGCUAGAGUGCAGAAGGGGCAACUGGAAUUCUCGGUGUAGCGGUGAAAUUCGUAGAUAUUCGGAGGAACACCAGUGGCGAAGGCGGCUCACUGGUCCGGUACUGACGCUGAGGUGCGAAAGCGUGGGGAGCAAACAGG
rnacentral:rRNA from 1 species